GUUGUUGGGUAGGGGAGCGUUCUGUAAGCCUGUGAAGGUGGCCUGUGAGGGUUGCUGGAGGUAUCAGAAGUGCGAAUGCUGACAUAAGUAACGAUAAAGCGGGUGAAAAGCCCGCUCGCCGGAAGACCAAGGGUUCCUGUCCAACGUUAAUCGGGGCAGGGUGAGUCGACCCCUAAGGCGAGGCCGAAAGGCGUAGUCGAUGGGAAACGGGUUAAUAUUCCCGUACUUGGUGUUACUGCGAAGGGGGGACGGAGAAGGCUAUGUUGGCCGGGCGACGGUUGUCCCGGUUUAAGCGUGUAGGUGGUUUUCCAGGCAAAUCCGGAAAAUCAAGGCUGAGGCGUGACGACGAGGCACUACGGUGCUGAAGCAACAAAUGCCCUGCUUCCAGGAAAAGCCUCUAAGCAUCAGGUAACAUCAAAUCGUACCCCAAACCGACACAGGUGGUCAGGUAGAGAAUACCAAGGCGCUUGAGAGAACUCGGGUGAAGGAACUAGGCAAAAUGGUGCCGUAACUUCGGGAGAAGGCACGCUGACACGUAGGUGAAGUGAUUUACUCAUGGAGCUGAAGUCAGUCGAAGAUACCAGCUGGCUGCAACUGUUUAUUAAAAACACAGCACUGUGCAAACACGAAAGUGGACGUAUACGGUGUGACGCCUGCCCGGUGCCGGAAGGUUAAUUGAUGGGGUCAGCGCAAGCGAAGCUCCUGAUCGAAGCCCCGGUAAACGGCGGCCGUAACUAUAACGGUCCUAAGGUAGCGAAAUUCCUUGUCGGGUAAGUUCCGACCUGCACGAAUGGCGUAAUGAUGGCCAGGCUGUCUCCACCCGAGACUCAGUGAAAUUGAACUCGCUGUGAAGAUGCAGUGUACCCGCGGCAAGACGGAAAGACCCCGUGAACCUUUACUAUAGCUUGACACUGAACAUUGAGCCUUGAUGUGUAGGAUAGGUGGGAGGCUUUGAAGUGUGGACGCCAGUCUGCAUGGAGCCGACCUUGAAAUACCACCCUUUAAUGUUUGAUGUUCUAACGUGGACCCGUAAUCCGGGUUGCGGACAGUGUCUGGUGGGUAGUUUGACUGGGGCGGUCUCCUCCUAAAGAGUAACGGAGGAGCACGAAGGUUGGCUAAUCCUGGUCGGACAUCAGGAGGUUAGUGCAAUGGCAUAAGCCAGCUUGACUGCGAGCGUGACGGCGCGAGCAGGUGCGAAAGCAGGUCAUAGUGAUCCGGUGGUUCUGAAUGGAAGGGCCAUCGCUCAACGGAUAAAAGGUACUCCGGGGAUAACAGGCUGAUACCGCCCAAGAGUUCAUAUCGACGGCGGUGUUUGGCACCUCGAUGUCGGCUCAUCACAUCCUGGGGCUGAAGUAGGUCCCAAGGGUAUGGCUGUUCGCCAUUUAAAGUGGUACGCGAGCUGGGUUUAGAACGUCGUGAGACAGUUCGGUCCCUAUCUGCCGUGGGCGCUGGAGAACUGAGGGGGGCUGCUCCUAGUACGAGAGGACCGGAGUGGACGCAUCACUGGUGUUCGGGUUGUCAUGCCAAUGGCACUGCCCGGUAGCUAAAUGCGGAAGAGAUAAGUGCUGAAAGCAUCUAAGCACGAAACUUGCCCCGAGAUGAGUUCUCCCUGAGACUUAGAGUCUCCUGAAGGAACGUUGAAGACGACGACGUUGAUAGGCCGGGUGUGUAAGCGCAGCGAUGCGUUGAGCUAACCGGUACUAAUGAACCGUGAGGCUUAACCUUAC
rnacentral:rRNA from 1 species